rnacentral:rRNA from 1 species
AUCGAACGCUGGCGGCAGGCUUAACACAUGCAAGUCGAGCGGAGCGGCGGACGGGCGAGUAAUGCCUACGAAUCUGCCUGGUAGUGGGGGAUAACGUCCGGAAAUGGGCGCUAAUAUCGCAUACUAUCAGAUGAGCCUAGGUCGGAUUAGCUAGUUGGUGGGGUAAAGGCCUACCAACGCGACGGUCCGUAACUGGUCUGAGAGGUUGAUCGGUCACACUGGAACUGGGACACGGUCCGACGUCCUACGGGAGGCAGCAGUGGGAAAUAGUGGACAAUGGGCAAAGGCCUAAUCCAGCCAUGCCGGGUGUGUGGAGAAGGUCUUCGGAUUGUAAGGCACUUUAAGUUGGAAGGCGUUACCGACAGAAUAAGCACCGGCUAACUACGUGCCAGCAGCCGCGGUAAUUC